CGGGAAGCCAAUCCCUCCCUUUUUGGGGUAGGGGAGGCCCUGAUAAUCUUGGACUUUGGGCGAGUGGCUCCCCAGGUCUAGGCCUGGCUGCCCUCCCCAAACAAAUCUCCCAGCUCUUUUCUGUCCAAAGCCCUCCCCCUCUAUCCCAUCUCCAGCCUCUUCUCUUCAGGCCCAUCAACGAAGCUUUCACCCUCAGCACUUGCCUUAGAUUCCUGGACUUAGCAGCACACAGGAAAUAUUCUCCUCGCAGACUUUAGGCGCCACUGCUGGGUCCGGAAAAGAAAGAGAAACGUCCCAGCGCGGUCGCUUGUGUAACUCAGGACGAGGCUGCGCUGGGCGCCCGCGCGCGUUUUCAAGUCUGUGGCCCGGAGUUCACUUCGAGCACUGGGAUCACCCGUCACCCCGCUCUGGUCUACGGAAAACGAAACGUGUUUACUGAUAUAGAAACGGAACAACGGCGCUGCGGGCUGGGGAGGGCGGAGCUGCCUUCAGGCUUCUGGUCUCCAGCUGCGGGUCACUCACAUCUGCCGCUGUGAAAUGCAGACCCGCGGGGCAGGAAUUCCUAGUCCGGGCUGGAGCGCGAUCUGGAAUCUGAGUCGCUUGAAACAGCACCGCGGUGAAUUCGGAGCCGGAGCCUGUGAGGUGGUCAAGCUGCAGAGAACACAAGCUUCUACCUCCAGAUGUGCCAGGGUGCAUCUCUUGGGUACAAAAACAAGGGUUUUGUUUUGUUUUACAAAGUCAAAGUACAAACCUCAAACAGGAUAAUAUUUUAAACCAUUAUUGGGACAUACUUUGCAUACAAUAAAUGUAUGUAUUUGAAAUGUACAGCUCAUGGGGUUGUACUGUUUGGCUGUUUUACACAACCACAUAUCCGCUACCACAAUGAAGAUAAAGAAAUAACUUUUCCAUAGUCCUCUAAAGAACAGCCAUGCGUUAAAAUUCCAUGCAGUCCUUAAAAAGAGGAGGAUGAAUUUUUAAGUAUUGUUAUGAGAAGAUCUGUGCCCAGCCUACUUUUACCCAUUUUUAAAAGGAUAAGGAUAUAUGGAUGUAAAGAUGUACCACUAAUGCCACUUACAUAGUAUAUAUUUUAAGUAGGGAAAACCCGGAGGAUUACUCACCAAAAUUUUGGCAGGGACCCCAGGGACUGGGGUAACUUUGUGACUUUCGCUUUCUCUGAAAUGUUGGAAUUUUAUAUUACAGUAUAAACUCAGAUAUUGGUCAGGCACGAUGGUUCAGGCUCUGGAAGCUGAAGGAUAGCUUGAGCCCAGGAGUUUGAGGCUGCAGUGAGCUAGGAUCUCACCACUACACUCCAGCCUGGGUGACAGAAAGAGAUUUGUCUCAAAAAUAAAUAAAGAAAAUUUAAAAAUAAAAAUAAUAAACUUGGCUUUGUAUGGUGGUUAAAUGUAAGCUACACACCCAAAUAGUUACAGGAUUUUAAAACCCAAAGUGUUAAUUAAAACCCAACUCCAGAAACUCACUUUUAAGGGGACUUCAUAUUUUCAGGUCAUUAAAUCUUUCUCAAAGUGUCUUUGAUAGAGCUGUUUUUAGUGCAGUAGGGAGAUGUGUAACCAUUUUACAAAAGGGGCGGGCUGUAAUAAAAAGGGAAACGCAAAAUCCAGUGGGGACACGCUGUCCCAUUUAUUUUCAAAGCAGGUUUGAAAACUGCACUGCUAUAGUGUCUUUGGGUUGAGACAAAGUCGAGGAAAAUCUUGUUCCUGGAGUGUUGAUUUCCUUUUUCCAAGGGCCAAAGCCUUUCGAAGCAAAUCUAAAAACUCAGGCUGACUUUCAGAUCUGAAGAAAUCUCAAGAAUGUUUGUGCGGACAGCGACGCUCUAAGAAUCCAGCCCUCUUGGGCUCCAAGCUCUCUGGAGCUUCACCCAGUGACAAUGGGCGAAAGGACAGUACACAGUGAAAUGGCACCAGUGAGUCAGAGGCCAAAGGAGGAUUUCUGGCCAGAGGGCGCAGGAUGUGCUUUGUCAUAGUGAGGUUGGGGUAGCCGAGCAGAGGCAAGGCCACUCUGGGAAUAAGUGGCAGAGAAAAAGGAGCGCUAGGAAGGAUCCAAAGCCUUUAACUUCUUCCUUUCCUUCCAGUUGGAUUGGAGGGGACCAGCAUGGUCCCUGAAGGAGAGGUCCGUGGGGUGCAGAGAAUGGGGUGGCUGCAAAGGGGCAUUGCACGUCCCACACAGGCGUCUGGCACCCUUCUCCCAGCUACUCCUGAUGAGUUCAAACUAGGAGGAGACUAAGACUCGUCCUUUGCAAGGUAGACUCCGUAUCUCGCGCUUCGGCUGGUUUAUUAAAUCCAUCUUAAUAAAACACAAAAACCAAGAA